rnacentral:rRNA from 1 species
UACAGAGGCCUCGAGCGUUAGGCGGAAUCACUGGGCUUAAAGCGUGUGUAGGCGGACCCCUAAGUGCCUUGUGAAAUCCCACGGCUCACCCGUGGAACUGCUGGGCAUACUGGGGGUCUUGAGCCACCUAGGGGCUACCGGAACAAAUGGUGGAGCAGUGAAAUGCGUAGAUAUGCGGAGGAACACCGAUGGCGAAGGCAAUCCCCUGGGCCUGCACUGACGCUCAUGCACGAAAGCGUGGGGAGCAAACAGG